CUACCACCUCCCUCCCUUCUCCCUCCCUUCUCUGUUCAAAUGGAGAGGAAAUAAGGAGAAUUCAGAUGCCGCAUGUCUUAAGCGAAAGCGCUCCCAAGCUAUUCAUAGUCUAAAGUUGAGCCGCAACCAUGUGGACUGGCACAGUGUGGAUGAAGUGUAUCUUUACAGUGAUGCAACAACAUCUAAAAUUGCAAGAACUGUUACACAAAAGUUGGGGUUUUCCAAAGCGUCGAGUAGUGGGACAAGGCUACAUAGAGGCUAUGUAGAAGAAGCCACGUUAGAAGACAAGCCACCACAGACUAGUCACAUUGUGUUUGUUGUGCAUGGUAUUGGGCAGAAAAUGGACCAAGGAAGGAUCAUCAAGAAUACA